rnacentral:sRNA from 1 species
CUACGCCGUGUCCCGCCGCGGAAACCCGACGGAGAUGAAUACCAAAUUCAGAUUCAGUCGAUGAUCGAGUAAGUCAUUGCACCACCGGCGUAACAUUAUCUGGAGUCUGCGCAUUGGUUCAGCUAGCUUGAGCUCUGGAUUCCAAACUGGAACAAGAGCUUUAACUCCAGAGUAUGAACAAGUCCAUUGGUCUUCUACAAGAGAGAGUUUGAACUUUGAAUAAUGAGGAGAAACAACAAGGGGUUAAAUUCUGCUGCCACUUUCUUCCUCUUUUAGGUUUCAGGAUUGUUUGUUUCGUUAAUUGAUUGUACCAGUUUCUCGAAGAUGCAGAUUUUUUGAUGAAAGGUUUAAGGUUAGUGUUGCUUUUUAAUGGUAUUGUUUUCACACAAUAUGAGAGAUUUACUAGUGAUCGUUGUUUUUUUUGUUUUCAAGAAAGCAUUGCUACUCGUCUUAAUCUUUCCCUUGGAUUUCGUUUUCGAUUAUCAAUUGAGCAUGUGCAGCUAAUAGUUUCACAGAACUGUUUGUUUUUUUGCCUUAACUCGUUUGUUUCUUCGUCUUUACUCGUUUGUUUCUUCGGUCUUCCUGGAAUUUGAAAUUGGUAGACAAGGUCCAAUGUGUUGUGCAUUUACUGAGUCACAUUCUCUCACAUUUUGUGGGUCAUAGAAUUAGAUUGGACGACCCUUAUUUCAUUAUCACCUACCUGUUUAUUGCUUCUGCACGUGCAUGGUGGAUUUGAGAUUACAAUGUGGAAAGUGACUUGAGAAUCACAUCUACGUGAGUGCGGUCCUCUCCUAGCAAGCUGCCAGCUAAAACUCUUUGUUGUUUUCUGCUCCCAAUUCAUUAUGCCUCAAUAAUCUAAAACUUUUCGGUCAUUUUCGAACACUUAACUGUAUUAUUGAUACAAAUUACCAGCUUUGACUUUCUAAGACUCUUCGUUUGUUUGAUAGAUACAUUUCUAUAUACUGUUGUGAAAGAAGCUACAUGGUUCUCACUGCGUUGAAAGGUGGAGAAGAAUAUUACAAACAGAAAAAAGAAUCAUGUGAAGGUAUUGGUAUUGAAAGCAGCAUGAGUCUUUGUUAAUAGGCUAAGCUAUGGUGUGUUAGCUACUUUGGGGCCACACCUAUGGAACAAUCUGCUGCAUGAUUCUUGGUGCUCCUUGGAGGCUGAUGAGUGCUAGGCCAUGAGGAUGCAUCAGAAGUCAUUGAGUCAUCGCUUUCAUUGUUACUACUAUCAUCAUCAUCGUCAU